CAUUAGCUCAGUUGGUAGAGCAGUGGACUUUUAAUCCAUUUGUCGCUGGUUCGAAUCCAGCAUGAC
rnacentral:tRNA from 1 species